GAAAUAUAUGGAUUGUAUCUUGGCUUCACAUUCACAUUAUAGUCGGCACAUUCAUAUUUCAAAAACUUUUCAACUCAGAACAAUGAAACUUACUUUUAUAGGUGACAUUCAGCACUUGAACUGAUUUGUUGAGCUGUGACUCUCUGGAUUUGAGAAGAGUCUUGAUAACACUGAGGACCUGAGUUUCUCUGGGGACUGGAGAUGAGGAGUUAAACUGCAGUUUGCUUGUAACCAGUGCUGAACCAGUUCUGUUCAUUAGAGGUAAGCUUGUUUUGCCAAGGACUGCUGUAGAUGUUAGGAAGUGCACUGUAGGAUUAUUUUCUGUCUGAGAAUUAGUCAAAGCUGUUGUUGUAAACACUGGAACUGUUGUUGUAUUUAAAUUAGAUAUAGCUUGUGAUUGUGCUGUUGUUGGCUCUUCCAACAAUGUUGAGGAGGACAUUCUGGUUGUAAUUGUUUCACUACUAGUUGUUGUGAUUUUAGAAUUAGGUGUGGUUGUUGAAUCAGUUAUAUCUGUUUUUAAUGCACUGAAGGUAGUAAUUUUCAUCUCAGACAUUGUUGUGCUUUGUGGAUGAAUAUUCUUGGAUGUUGUUGUCACUGACUCCUCCAGCAAAGUUGGAGGGGUUGUGGUGCUUGUGGGGGUCAAAGUUGUAGUUUUUUCACCAAUACUUGUAUUAAUUGCAGGCAUAGUUGUAGUUUCUGGAUGAGUUGUGGUGUUUUGUGUGAUAGUUGAGAAUGUUGGAGGAGCUACUGUGGUUUUGAGACCCAAGAUUAUAGUUGUCUCACCUAUAGUUGCUGUUGGAAGUGUAUUUGUGCCAGCCAAAGUUGUUGUUGCACUAGUAGUUGUAACAGGAAGUACUGUUGUUGUUUCAAACAUAGUUGUGGAUGUUGAUUCAAUUGUCGAUAAGGGUGCUGAAGAUGAGAAUGAUGGAGGGAUGCUUGUGUUGGCGAUAUUUGUUGUUGUUGCGCCAAUAGUUUUGGUUACUGCAUCAGUUGUCAACAUUGGUGCUGCAACUGAAGAUGUUGCAAGGGUGCUUAUGUUAAACAAAACUGUUGUUUCAAGAACUGUUGUUUUAGGCACAGUUGUUGUUUCUUCAUCAGAUGUCAACAAUGGUUCUAGAAGUGAUGAUGUUAGAGGGGUGCUUGUGUCAAAGUUGUUGUUGCACCAAUAGGUGUUGUUGGUAGGACUGAUGUUGUUUCAGGCAUAGUUGUGGUUGCUGCAUCAGUUGUUGGUGCUACAGAUGAGGAUGCUGGAGAGGUGCUUUUGGCAGCCAGAGUUGUUGUUGUUGCACCAAUUGUUGUUGCUGAAAGAAUUGUUGCUGUUUCGGGUGAAUUUGUAGUUGCUCUAUCAGUUGUCAACAUGGGUGCUAUAUUUGAUGAUGUUUGAGGGAUGGUUGUAGCAGCCAAAGAUUGUUCUAUAGUCAAGGAUGUUGGAAGUGUGGCCAAAGUUACUGGAAGGGUUGUUGUGGUUUCAGCCAUAGUAGAUGUUGGAUUGUUUGUUGUUGUGGAAACCAAAGUUUUAGUUGCCUCAACAAUAAUACCAUUUGUUAGAAGUGCUAAUGUUUUUUCAGGCAUAGUUGUAGUUGGUGUAUCGGUUGUUGAUGUUGGAGCUAGAGUGGAGAAUGUUGAAAGGGUACUUCUGGUAGCCAAAGUUGUUGUUGUUGCACCAAUCAUUGUUGGAAGUACCACUGUUAUUUCAGGAAUAGCUGUGGUUGCUGAAUCAGUUGUCAACAAUUGUGCUACAGUUGAGGAUGUUGGAGGAGUGCUUGUGUUAACCAAAUUUGCUGUUGUUGCACCAAUAUUUGUUGUUGUGUCAGCCAUAGUUGUGGUUGUCAAAGUUGUUGCUGUUGCACCAAUACUUGUUGUGGUGUCAGCCAUAGUUUUGGCUGCCACAUCAGAUGUUGACGUUGGUGGUAUAACUGAUGAUAUUGGCGGGGUGCUUGUGUUGGCCAAAUUUGUUGUUGCACCAGUAAUUGUUGUGGUGUCAGCCAUAGUUGUGAUUGCUGCAUCAGCUGUCAACAUUGGUUCUACAAGUGAAGAUGUUGCAAGGGUGCUUGUGUUAACCAAAGUUGUUGGUGUUGCACUAAUAGGCUUUGCUGGAAGGACUGUUGUCGUUCCAAGCAUAGUAGUGGUUGUUGCAUCAGAUUUUGAGAACUGUGCUACAGUUGAGGAUGUUGGAGGAGUGCUUGUGGGAGUCAAAGUUGAUGUUUUUGAAUCAAUAUUUGUUGUGGUGUCAGCCAUAGUUGUGGAAGCAGCAUCAGAUGCUGACAUUGGUGCUAGAACAGAUAAUGUAGACAAAGCUGUUGUUGCACCAACAGUUGUUGCUGGAUGGACUUUUUUUGUUUCAGGAAUAGUUGUGACUGCCGCACCAGUAGUCAAAGUUGGUGCAAAAGAUGAGGAUGCUGGAGGAGCACUUGUAAUAGUCAAAGUUGUUGUUGUUGCACCAAUAGUUGUUUUUGAAAAUACCAUUGAUGUUUCAGGCAAAGUUCUGAUUGUUGCAUCAGAUGUCAUUGUUGGUGCUAGAACAGAUUUUGUUGUUGCACCAAAAGUUUUUGUUGGAAGAACUGUUUCUGUUUCAGCCAUAGUUGCGUUUGCUGCAUCAGUUGUCAAUGUUGGUGCUACAGAUGAGGACACUGGAGGGGUACUUUUGGCAGCCAAAGCUGUUGCACUAAUAGUUGUUUUGGAAAGUACUGUUGUUGUUUUAGGUGAAGUUGUGGUUGCUGCAUCAGUUGUUGAUUUUGGUGCUAUAUUUGAGGAUGUUGAAGGGAUGGUUGUGUCAGUCAACUUUUGUGCUAUAGAUAAGGAUGUUGGAGAUGUGGCCAAAGUUGUUAUUGUCUCGCCAGUAGCUGUAUUUGGAAGAUAUGUUGUGGUUUCAGCCACAGUAAUUGUUGUAGGAUUGUUUGUUGUUGUGGAAACCAAAGUUGUUGUUGUCUCAACAAUAGUAGCAUUUGUUGGAAACACUGUUGUUAUUUCAGACAUAGUUGUGACUGCUGCAUCAAUAUUAUUUGUUGUUGUUGUUGUUGUAUUUGCACCAGUAGUUGUUGUAUGUUCAGGCAAAGUUGUGGUUGCUACAUUAGAUGAGGACUCUAGAGGGGUGCUAGUGAUAGCCAAGGUUGUUGUUUCAUGACUAGUUGUUGUUGGAAGUACUGUUGUUGCAUCAGCAAUAGUUGUCAUUGCUGAGUCACUUGUCAACACCUGUGCUGUGGUUGUGAAUGUUGGAUUAGUGGUUUUGGAAACCAAAUUUGUUGUUGUUUCAAUAAUUGUUGUGAUGUAAGGCUUGAGCAUAGUUGAGGAUAUUUGAGGGGUUCUUGUUGUUACACCAAUAGUGGUUGAGGAUUCAAGCUUAGUUUUAGUUGCCGAAUCAGUUGUCAGUGUUGGUGCUACAUUUGAGGAUGUUGGAGUAGUGCUUGUGGUAGCCAAAAUUGUUGUUGUUGCACCAGUAGUUGUUUUUGGAAGUGCUAUUGUGUUGUCAGGCAUAGGUGUGGUUGCUAACCCAGCUGAUGAUGCUACAGUUGAGGAUGUUGGAGGGAUGCUGGCGCUAAGCAAAGAUGUUGCUGUGUCUGGCAUAGUUGUGGUUGCUGCAUCAGUUGAUGAUGCUGGUGCUAUAGUUGAUGAUAUUUGAGGAAUGGUUCCGGAAGCCAAAUUUGUUUUUGCAUCAGUAGUUUCUGUGGUGUCAGAGAGAAUUGUGGUUGCCACUUCAGUUUUUGUUGACAUUGGUGCCACAGUUGAAGAUGUUGAAAGGGUGGAUGUGCUAUCUAAAGUUGUUGCAUCAAUAAUUGUUGUAAAGUCAGGCAUAGUUGUUGUUCCAUCAGUUGUCGAUGUUUUUGCCACUGUUGAGGAAUCUGGAGAAGUGGUUGUAGGAGCCAAAGUUGCUGUCACAUCAGUAGUUGCUGUGGUGUCAAGCAUACUUGUGGUUGAUGCAACAUUUGUUGUUGACAAUGGUGCCACAGUUGAGGAUGUUGGAUGGGUGGUUAUGGCCAAAGUUGUUGUUGCAUAAAUAUUUGUUGUGAUGUCAGGCAUAGUUGGGGUUGUUGCAUGACCUGUUAACGCUGGAGGGGUGGUUGUGGAAUCCAAAGUUGUUUCAGCAUCAGUAGUUUUUGUGGUGUCAGGCAUGGUUGUUGCUGCUGCAUCAGUUGUCAAAAUUUGUGCUACAGUUGAAGAUGCUGGAGGAGUGGUUGUGGAAUCCAAAGAUGUUGUUGUAUCAGUUGUUGUUGUGGUGUCAGGCAUAGUUGUGGUUACGGCAUCAGAUGUUGAUGCUGGUGCUAUAGUGGUCGAUAUCAGAGGUGUGGUUGUGGAAGCCAAAAUUGUUGUUGCAUCAGUUGUUGUUGUGGUGUCAGACAGAGUUGUGGUUGCUGCAUCAGUUGUUGUUGAAACUGGCA
ensembl:lncRNA